rnacentral:rRNA from 1 species
CCUCGUGCCGAAUUCGGCACGAGGGGUGGAGUGAUUUGUCAGGUUAAUUCCGGUAACGAACGAGACUGAAACCUAUUAAUUAGUUUUCUGCCUAUAAGACAGAAAUGUUCGCAAGAACAGGUGCGUAAGUACCACUUCUUAAAGGGACACAUUUCAAUUGUCCUAUUUUAAUUGUAGUUAUCUAAUUUCGGUUAGACCUCUUUUAACGUGGGAAAAAGAAAAAGGAAGCAUUCAGCAAUAACAGGUCUGUUAUGCCCUUAGACAUCUUGGGGCGCACGCGCGCUACAAUGGAGUUACUAGAGAGUAUUUUAUCAUUUACACCUUAUUUAUUAGGCUUUGGCUUAUAAUUAAGGAUAGUAAGUGGGGUCCCUCAUUGACAUAGUUAA